AGCCAGCUCUCGGGCUGACAGGCAAAUGAACCAGAUCGUGGACGGGGCCUCUGGGUGGCAGCUCCGGCCUUUUGGUUGUUGGACAACUAUAGUCAGAACUGAAAUGGAACAGGGGCAGGAGAAAUAACACACUUUUACUCCACGCAACUGUUGCUUUCACAUGAUCUUCAGGAAUGUAACUGGGAUAAUUGUCCAAAUUGAAUCCCAUACCCUGUCAUGGUACUGAUUAUUAAGGUGACUAUAUGAAAGGAUCACUCCAAAAUAACAGGAAUCUUGAGGAACCCAUUAAUGUAAAGCUGCGGCCAGAGUUCCAUGAGGAGGCAGAAUGUUCUAGAUGAUCCCUGUCUCUUCUCCAUUGAGGAAGUCGUUUCUUGCCUCUCUGUAAGCUCAGUUAAUCAUACCAGAAUAGGAGUCCUGUCUUAACUGAGCAAUAUACACUAUGGAGAGAUCCUUCAAAACCCGUCGGGACGAAUAACAGAUGAAUUCAUAAAACUGUUCAUCUCUGUUAUCCUGAAUGGUCACUCAGACAACAUUUUACUCAACUAUAAAGGGGAACACUUAAAGUGCAUAUGAGAAGAGAAGAGAAUGACCACAGGAGAAAAUCAUCUCAGGGAGAAGCAUAUUGUGUGAUGUUCUAUAUUUAUGAGACCCAUAGCAAACUGUGAAGAGAUAACAGAAUGCUUUUUGCGUGAGCUGAAACAGUAGAUGAAAUCUUUCAUUAAAAUUACUCAUACUUUGGGUCCUAUUCUUAUUUAUAAAUAAAUAUUAUUGCAAACAUUU
rnacentral:lncRNA from 1 species